GCGGGUGUAGCUCAGUGGUAGAGCGCUAGCCUUCCAAGCUAGUUAUGUGAGUUCGAUUCUCAUCACCCGCUCCA
rnacentral:tRNA from 1 species